rnacentral:rRNA from 1 species
UAGACUCCGGCCAAGCAGUGAGGCUGACAUGUAGUGAAGUACGCAUGUUAAGGCUGGGCUGUGAUGGGGACUGAAGAUUAGUAGGGAAGCUGUUGAAUUCACACUGGCGAGAAAAGCUGCUAAGGAGCGAGAGUAUGCCCGUACCGCAAACCGACACAGGUAGGCGAGGAGAGAAUCCUAAGACGAGCGGGAGAACCCUUGUUAAGGAACUCGGCAAAAUGACUCCGUAACUUAGGGAGAAGGAGUGCCUCGAGAGAGGCCGCAGAGAAUAGGCCCAAGCGACUGUUUACCAAAAACACAGGUCUGUGCGAAGUAGAGAUACGACGUAUACGGGCUGACGCCUGCCCAGUGCCGGAAGGUUAAGGGGAAGUGUUAGGGCAACCGAAGCACGGAACUUAAGCCCCGGUGAACGGCGGCCGUAACAAUAACGGUCCUAAGGUAGCGAAAUUCCUUGUCGGGUAAGUUCCGACCCGCACGAAUGGCGUAACGACUUGGGCACUGUCUCAACAAGGGACCCGGCGAAAUUGUAGUAUGUGUGAAGAUGCACAUUACCCGCGAUAGGACGGAAAGACCCCGUAGAGCUUUACUGUAGUUUAACAUUGGAUUUUGAUAACACAUGUACAGGAUAGGUGGGAGGCUGAGAAACCGGCACGCCAGUGCCGAUGGAGCCGCUGUUGGGAUACCACUCUUGUGUUAUUGGAGUUCUAACGAAGUGCCGUAAACCGGGCUUCGGACAGUGUUAGAUGGGCAGUUUGACUGGGGCGGUCGCCUCCGAAAGAGUAACGGAGGCGUCCAAAGGUUCCCUCAGAAUGGUUGGAAACCAUUCACAGAGUGCAAAGGCAGAAGGGAGCUUGACUGCGAGACCGACAGGUCGAGCAGGUACGAAAGUAGGGCUUAGUGAUCCGGCGGUAAGAGAGUGGAAUUGCCGUCGCUCAACGGAUAAAAGCUACCUCGGGAUAACAGGCUGAUCUCCCCCAAGAGUUCACAUCGACGGGGAGGUUUGGCACCUCGAUGUCGGCUCGUCGCAUCCUGGGGCUGGAGCAGGUCCCAAGGGUUUGGCUGUUCGCCAAUUAAAGCGGCACGCGAGCUGGGUUCAGAACGUCGUGAGACAGUUCGGUCCCUAUCCAUCGUGGGCGCAGGAGAUUUGAGAGGAGCUGUCCUUAGUACGAGAGGACCGGGAUGGACGCACCAAGGGUGAAUCAGUUGUCGUGCCAACGGCACAGCUGGGUAGCCAAGUGCGGAUCGGAUAAACGCUGAAGGCAUCUAAGCGUGAAGCCGACCUCAAGAUAAGAUCUCCCAUCCGAAAGGAGUAAGACCCCAUGAAGACCACAUGGUUGAUAGGCCGGAGGUGGAAGUGCAGUAAUGUACGGAGCUGACCGGUACUAAUAGGUCGAGGGCUUGAUCG